AGUGAACGCUGGCGGCGUGCUUAACACAUGCAAGUCGAACGAGAACGGAUUAUAGCUUGCUAUAAUUGUCAGCUAAGUGGCGCACGGGUGAGUAAUGUAUAGGUAAUAUGCCUCUUACUAAGGGAUAACAAAUGGAAACGUUUGCUAAUACCUUAUACUCCUUAUUAACAUAAGUUAAUAAGGGAAAGAUUUAUUGGUAAGAGAUUAGCCUGUAUUGUAUCAGUUAGUUGGUGGGGUAAUGGCUUACCAAGACUAUGACACAUAACUGGUUUGAGAGGAUGAUCAGUCACACUGGAACUGAGACACGGUCGAGACUCCUACGGGAGGCAGCAGUGGGGAAUAUUGCACAAUGGACGAAAGUCUGAUGCAGCAACACCGCGUGGAGGAUGACACAUUUCGGUGCGUAAACUCCUUUUAUAUGAGAAGAUAAUGACGGUAUUAUAUGAAUAAGCACCGGCUAACUCCGUGCCAGCCGCCGCCGUAACAC
rnacentral:rRNA from 1 species